CAGCUGACAGUUAGUAGCCUACCCAAAAUGAAAACAGGCGUACCGCGGUUCAUAUAUUAGCACGUUAUUUUAUUUUAAUUGAAUAUAGUUUUCCAGUUUAAAAAGUAGGCUAUAGACAGAGCAUUUUCCCACAGAAUAUUUAAUAGCCAAAUAACCAAGCACUUUCUUUCUCUAUUUUUAAUAAAAUUUUGUUUUCGUUUAGAUUUUAUUCUAAACAAUUUAGUUUGAAAGAAUGUGUUUGAUAUGGCCAUUUCAUUUUACUAAAUUUCCCAAAAUGUGUUGUUUUAGCCUGGAUGCUGAUUUCUUUACCGUGACUUGUUCUAACGGCUGCUUGAAAGAGAAAGUGCUGAUAUACAUUGGCUAAGUAGAUAUAGGCUAUCGUUUUCUCAUAAAAUGUAGACAGUACAAACUUCAAUCAAUCAAAUUUUAUUUAUAUAGCGUAUUUUACAACAGUUGUCACAAUACGCUUUACAGACAGCCCUAGCCUAAACCCCCACAGGAGCAAGCCUAAGGCAACAGUGGCAAGGAAAAACUCCCUGUGGCAGAUGGGGAGAAACCUUGGAAGGAACCAGGCUCAAGGGGGAAACCCAUCCUCCUCUGGUCGGCUCAGGGUGCCGACUGGUGACCAGCAUGUCAGCCAGUUUAUGCAGAAGAUAUGAUAAGUGAUGUGGCUCAGAUGAUGGGUGGGGCCAGGCGGCGGUGAUGGGGAACAGCAGGUGGCGGCAGAUGUGGGCAGGGUGGAGGCAAUGACGAAGGAGGGGCUGGACCGCAGAGGUGGGGGAGACCAGACGACUCUCGAAGCACUCUCGAGGGUUGGGGCAAGAGCCCCGCCGGCAGCGUGGGGAAGAGGGUGGAAACAGCAGUUAAGGGAUUUGCAAUAUACCAGACAGUGAGUAAGUGCCAGUGCUAUGUAUUGUGGGACGCCGCCAGGAGUAGAAUAUGGCUGCAUAUCUACUAGGACAGGGAUGGAGAGCCCAUGCAGUCAUGAGGGGUAGACAACCAUACCCGCCUAUCAAGAGCCAGCCCAUGUAAAGUCGGGUCACAGCUGAUUGACAGGUGACAGUAAGGAAAGGAUUGCCACCUAGAAAGCUCUAUGACUACAGGCUUCUCGCACCCUGUCUCCAGACUAUAACUGAUUGUAAGCUUGAGCAUAGAGGUGCGUUUUUAAUCUAGAUUUAAAUAUUGAGACUGUGUCUGACUCCUUUAUAAAUAAUGGAAGCUGGUUCCACAGUAGUGGGGCCCUGUAGGAGAAAGCCCUACCACCUUUUAGGUUCUUGGAAAUUCUUGGGACUACCAAGUAGCCUGCGUCUUGAGAUCGGAGUGACCUUGUGGGCUUAUAAGGUAGGAGCAGGUUCGAUAUGUACACAGGUGCACGUCCAUGCAGAGCUUUAAAAGUCAGGAGCAAAACCUUGAAGUCUAUCCUAUACUUAAUGGGUAGC